GACGAACCGUGCGAACGUUGUUCGGAAUCACUGGGCUUAAAGGGCGCGUAGGCGGGCCGGACGGUCCGGGGUGAAAUCCCCCCGCUCAACGGGGGAACGGCUCCGGAUACCGCCGGCCUCGAGGGGGGUAGGGGCGAGCGGAACGCUGGGUGGAGCGGUGAAAUGCGUUGAUAUCCAGCGGAACUCCGGUGGCGAAGGCGGCUCGCUGGGCCCUCUCUGACGCUGAGGCGCGAAAGCCAGGGGAGCGAACGGG
rnacentral:rRNA from 2 species